rnacentral:rRNA from 1 species
UACAGAGGGUGCAAGCGUUAAUCGGAAUUACUGGGCGUAAAGCGUGCGUAGACGGUUACAUAAGUCAGAUGUGAAAGCCCCGGGCUCAACCUAGGAAGUGCAUUCGAAACUGCGGGGCUGGAGUCCUGGGGAGGAAGGCGGAAUUCUCGGUGUAGAGGUGAAAUUCGUAGAUAUCGAAGAGGAACACCAGUGGCGAAGGCGACGUCCUGGA